rnacentral:rRNA from 1 species
CCUACGGGAGGCUGCAGUGGGGAAUAUUGCACAAUGGGCGAAAGCCUGAUGCAGCAACGCAGCGUGAGCGAUGAAGGUCUUCGGGUCGUAAAGCUCUGUCCUAAGGGAAGAAUAUUGACGGUACCUUAGGAGGAAGCCCCGGCUAACUACGUGCCAGCAGCCGCGGUAAUACGUAGGGGGCUAGAGUUAACCGGAAUUACUGGGCGUAAAGGGUGCGUAGGCGGUCCUUCAAGUCAGAGGUGAAACGGUACGGCUCAACCGUAGUAAGCCAUUGAAACGGUAGGGCUUGAGUGCAGGAAAGGAGAGUGGAAUUCCCAGUGUAGCGGUGAAAUGCGUAGAUAUUGGGAGGAACACCAGUUGCGAAGUCGGCUCUCUGGACUGUAACUGACGCUGAGGCACGAAAGAGUGGGGAGCGAACAGGAUUAGAUACCCCAGUAGUC